rnacentral:rRNA from 1 species
AUUGAACGCUGGCGGCAGGCUUAACACAUGCAAGUCGAACGAGUGGCGGACGGGUGAGUAAUGCUUGGGACUCUGGCUUAUGGAGGGGGAUAACGACGGGAAACUGUCGCUAAUACCGCGUACCAUAGGAUGAGCCCACGUGGGAUUAGGUAGUUGGUGGGGUAAUGGCAUACCAAGCCGACGAUCUCUCGCUGGUCUGAGAGGAUGACAAGCCACACCGGAACUGAGAGACGGCCCGGACUCCUACGGGAGGCAGCAGGGGGGAAUAUUGCGCAAUGGGGGCAACCUGACGCAGCCAUGCCGCGUGAGUGAAGAAGGCCUUCGGGUUGUAAAGUACUUUCGGUGACGAGGCGUUAAUCGCAGAAGAAGCACCGGCUAACUCCGUGCCAGCAGCCGCGGUAAUAC